rnacentral:rRNA from 1 species
CGCGUAGGCGGUCAUUUAAGUCAGCUGUGAAAUGGUUUGGCUUAACCGGAUCAUGCGGUUGAAACUGGAUGACUGGAGUGCUGGAGAGGCAAGUGGAAUUCCCAGUGUAUCGGUGAAAUGCGUAGAUAUUGGGAAGAACACCGGUGGCGAAGGCGACUUGCUGGCCAGUAACUGACGCUGAGGCGCGAAAGCCAGGGGAGCAAACGG